rnacentral:rRNA from 1 species
GUCUCAGUUCGGAUUGAAGGCUGAAAUUCGCCUUCAUGAAGCCGGAGUUGCUGUAAUGGCAGGUCAGCAUACUGCCGUGAAUACGUUCCCGGGCCUUGUACACACCGCCCGUCACACCAUGAGAGUUGGGAAUACCCGAAGCCUGUGAGCUAACGUAAGAGGCAGCAGUCGAAGGUAGAAUCAAUGAUUGGGGUGAAGUCGUAACAAGGUAAC